AAAGGUGCUUGACAGUAAGUCUUGAGCGAUGUGGGGUUUUGGUAGCUUUCAUUAACAAAAACAGUUGCUCACAAAGGUAAGUGCUUCCGAAAAUAGACAGUACUCUCGAUGCCAAUUUACGGAUCUGCACAUACGAUGGUGGCAGGUAAGCAUACAAGCCUGGCACACCAACUUCAUUGUAUUUUGCCUUCAGAAUAGAAUCUGACUGCACUUCAAGCAAUUCCAUUUGGAUAUUCUCAGGCGCAUUCUCAACGUUGUAAGAGAACAGCGCAAUGCCCUGCAUGUUUGUGUGAACUGAAAUCACGAAAAUGCUCACUGAAUUCAUUGCUCAGUAAUUCAAGUUGGAAAACAAAUCCUCCACAAAUCAAUUUUUACUUUACUAAGUUUACUUCAAAGUUUAUAUUGUAAAAUAAGCCAAUAUGCAAAAAGCCACCUGACCUACAAUAAUUUUACAAACUCAAAAUCACAAAAAUGUUAAUAAACAACUCACCAACUUCUCGCGUCCACUUCAGAUCUUCAGCUGUAGUCUGCACUAACUGUUCGUUACAAUACUAGCACAAAAUUACAUGAAAUUAGACCAAAAAAAUGUGAAAAUAUGCGGGCUAUUACUACUCGUAAUGGUCAGUUCUGCCCAGUGGCCAGUCUCAGCAACCCAGUCAGCAGUGUAGCCUUAGCAGGGGCGGCUCUAGGCUCGUGGCGGCCCUGGGCAGAGAAAGAAUCAGUGGCCCCUUCGCCUGGCAAUGUCAAUACGGUAUCUUAUGCACGGCGGAUGGCCGCAUCCGUUGCGGACACUGCAUAGCCGCCUCAUGCUCAUGACACGCUUCUAUAUACGCGUGUCCGCAACUUGAAAACCAAGUGGCGGCCCAUGAUAUUCUCAUUACGGCAGAACGUUAUAAUACUACAUAUAGCUUACUGCUCCGACUCUAGCGACAUUUGUAAAUACAGUGUACUAAUUAACAAGAAACAGAAUGUUUUUCGGCCACAUUGCCGUCAGCUGUGUCGUUAUUUUCUCUUUCUGUUUUAUAUUCAAUAUAUAUUGGCGUGGCGGCCCCUGGGAUUUGGCUGCACUGUGCAGGUGCACAGUUUGCACAUGCCUAAGGCCACUCCUGCUGCAGCCUAGCACUUCAGUUGUGACGCUGCGGCUCAUUAACUUUGGUCAAGGCUCGUGGCUAUACUAGCAGAUGACGUUUCCGGUACCGUAAUGCCAUGGGAAAACGCGCUUUUGUCAGAAGGCAGAAGUAAGAAAAGUCAAUAAGUAACACCGAAGAUGCAGAAUACUGUCGUUUGUGAUUGAAUCAAUCAUUUUGUACAAGUUCAAUGCUAACUAGGAUCUGUCAUGCAGGCCGCACAGAUUUCUGUUGCGGGCCACAUGCGGCCCGGGGGCUGCGUGUUUGACAUGCCUGCUCUACUGACUUUAAAUUCCUCACCUUCACCACUAAAAGAAGGAUUUUUUUUUCAGCAAAUCGCCAUGAAUCUUCCUGGUUUUCUCACAUAUGAUCGGCUCGCUUAUGCUAUCUCCUGCAAGUUGCUUCUCGUUCAACCACACUAGCAACAGUUUUUCUACCUCUUCCAGAACUUGAGGCCUCUGCUUGGUUAACAUUAUAACUCCUUUUGCAACAUCAGCUGCUUUGUUAGGCCCUGUAUAUGCAAACAAAAGAAAAUGGGAAACGGAGAAUGGCAAAUCAUUGGCGUGUACGAACACGCAUAGGGAAACUGGCCGCCAGUGUUUUUGUUCGCCACCAGAGCAUGUGGUCAUGAACAGAUGCAAAAUUUUGGCAAACUUUUUGAUCGUAACCCGAUUUGUACGUGUUCGGAAACGUUUGUGACCAGAGGUUCUACUGUACAAGGAAGAAGAGAAAAAACCCUAAUGAGGGUCAAUAGAUAUUCUAGGUGUGGUUGCCCUUCACUGGUUAAGGCAAUCUCUAGCUGUUCAUUUACUUUGAAGGUAACAUUAUAUAAUAGACAGAGAGAGAGAUUCUGACUUGAUUGUGUUCUUCUGUAAUGUAAAAUAGUGAUGGGAAAACUGGUCUGUAAGGCUGGUCUUAACAUGGUUACUCAGAAAAAUGUGUUAUUGACCAGUUAUUUUUUAAUUUUGAGAGAAGAUGUUCCAUCUUGUUGCUUCAAAAUAUGGCAUUAACUGAAAUCAAGCUUAGUCAUCAUUUAAGAUAUAAUGGAAGUUUCUUCUUUGCAACAUUUUACAUUUGAAAAGAUUUGCAAUUAUUUUAAAGCGCUGAAAAUUCUUUUAAGCAUUAUGUUUUAAAUGGUAGUUGAAACAAGACGUUUUGACUUCCUUGAGUAGAAAUAGGAUGUAUAUUCCGUGAAAUAUUAUUUACUUGUUUUAGUGCUCCUGACUUUUCAGGUCUUUCAAGAUAUCUCGUGAACUCACACCAGGAAUUGGAGCAUGUUGGCACCUGUUUGUGAAAGGAAAGAAUGCUCUUGCUACCUUUCAGCAAACAAUUAAAUUCAUAUAAAUAAUGACAUGUUGACAGUAUCUUGGAUAUGAUACAAGAAAUAAUUGUACUGUUUAUUGUGUUAAAUUUGAAUCACUGCCAAAACUUUUAUAAUCCUCUUACAAGUAAAAUGUAGUACUGACAAUGUUAGGUUACCAUCUGUAUAAAAUUCUGGUAUAGCAAAAACAUCCUUAAAAAAAAAAAACUUAAAAGGUCCAUAAUCCUGGCUGAAAAUGACACUCUAGUAGAGAAAAGGCUGGUUUCUGAAAACCUUACCCAAAGAUUAGAAUUUUAACUUGAGCAAAGGUGGAACAGGUAACAAGGAGACAUGAAUGGAAUGAAAUGCUAAUGAUAUUCAAAAAAUUUUUUAGAUGUGAUAGCCUUACUAACAAACUUUACUCAAAUAUUUAACCAUCAUGAUAUAGCUACACCUGCAAAUCUGGAUGAACAAGUCUGAGUUAAAUAAUAGAUAAUAGGUGUUGAUGCUUUUAAUACUUGAGCGUUUUUAGGAUUUGUUGUUGGAUUAUUUCAAAGUUUUAUCACCCUAAAGCUAAAGGUUUUUCAAUUUUCAGUUUUGUUUAUCGUAGGAAUUAUGCAUACUAACACUGAUAAAGACAUUCUGGCUGUUAAAUACUGUAAAUAUGGGUCCAGCAAGAAAUGUCUUUUGAAUGUGUAUUUUUGUCUGACAUUGGAGUUGGCUGGUGUAGGAGCACAACUAAAGCAAUAUAAUAGAGAUGGUAAACCUGCGGAAGUCUUUAGUAAUAAGAGAGAAAAUAUGACACAGGCAAUGAAGUGGCAAUUCUUCAGGCCAAUCUAGAUGGUGAUGCCACUAGUGAGUGUUAAAGCUUGUUGCAUAGUGUACUAGAAGUACAGUGAACAAAUCCCAUAGGGUCAAAAGAGUUGCAAGAAGAAGAGAGAUGUUAGGUGAGAACUAAAAGUAUCCAUAACACAUGGGGGGGGGGGGGCAAUGUUUUUUUUCCCAAUUUUGCUUUGUUACUCUGUAUAAUCACCAUAUGUGUUUUAUUGGGUACAAUAAAUGUGCUAUUAUGGCAGGUGUUGAAACAUCAAGACAGUAUACUCUGUCUGCACAUUUUAAAACUGUAAAAAAGAAAAUUAUACUAAAGUAGUGUAUUUUCUGCCUUGAUUUAGAGUUACGCAUAAAUGUGGCACCCCCUAUUUUAGCAUGCAGUUAACGAAAGAAUGUAUGGACCCUGUAGCUAACGGCUUUGCUACUUACUAUGAUUUUAUUUGCUACGGAAAUAUAUUCAGCAGGCUUGUAUUAAAAAAAAAAAACACCUUAGAGUGUUAAUGACCCACCUAAUAUUUCCAACUAUGAAAAUCACUCAUAUACAGGUACAUCAAUUUUAUGCACAAUGAAAAUUGGCACACAUUAAUUGGUUGAUUUUUAUAGUACACCCUCAACCAAAAUUAAAUUUCAAUAACCUUAUUAAAACUAUGAAAUGUGUAAGUUGUAAUUACUGUUGAAAGCAAACUUAACCAAAGUGUUUUGUUUUCUUUCCCCUUUUCAGGUACCAUCAAAAACUGAUAUCCAGGAAGAUGAUUUCACUCGUGCAUUCUUCCAUGCUAAUUCACCUGUUGGCAUGGUCAAAUGUGAUAAAGAUAUCCGGGGAGUAUCUGAAAGGUUUCUGCUGGAUCCUGGAAUGUAUUUAGUUGUACCCUUCACUUCAGAGAAAAAUGUCUCAGCAGGCUUCAUUUUGUCUCUUUUCUUCAAGACUAAGGAUAACAUAAUGUAACGUGUAGUUUGCUGAAACGUAUUUCAAACAAGAUUGAAUAUACUUUUCAUUUUAUUUUAUAAAAUUGGUUAAGGGUAUUGGAGUAAAAUGACAAAUGAACAGAGGAAAAAAGUUUAUAGUGACAAAUGCAUGCAGCUACUAAACUUCCCUGGAAGUUACUUUUAUUUAGUGGAAAAAUGUUAAACUUUUAUAAAAAUGAUAUAAAUGAAAUAAAGGUGUUAAAAACCAAAUAUAA